UUAGAACCUUCUCGAGGUG
rnacentral:tRNA from 1 species